rnacentral:misc_RNA from 1 species
AAAAAAAAAAAAAAAAAGAGUACACUGGCACUUCAAUUACUUUAUGGAACGUUCAUUUGCUCCUCAUGCAGCCUGUUCAUAUUUUCAUACAUGUCCACACACAUUAAUUUUACCAUACUCAAUAUUGAUGCCUUUACCAAGGUAUAAAUCUAUUGAGAAAAUUUUGAGUUUCCAACUACAGAUAUUGAUAUAUAAUGCAUACUAGGAGCACUGUAGAAAAUCAGGAUGUUGGAUAUGAAUAGAAUGGUGAAAAUCAAGUGUAGGCAUUUACAGAUAACAAGUAUAAUCAAUCAUGCGCAAAAAACAGAUCUUCCAGAACUUUCAUGCAGAAAAUUGUGUUCUGUUUCUAUAUGUUAGUCCCAAAAAAUGAAAGGAAAAUAGUUACUAGAAAUUAAAAUUAUGCUAUAGACCAACUUUCCAAGGCAAUUAACCAGUGGGCUGAACAGGAUUAAUUGAACAACUUUCAUUGUAUUUGAAAUCAAAUUUUAUACAUGCUGGAUUGAAUUUUGACUAAACAGUGUUGAUUUUCCAGCACAACAGGUGCAGUUCGUCCUUAAUCCUCAAAAGAUUUGCUGGAAGAACAAUGUGUUGCCUGUUGUACAGCACAAAAAAAUGCACAGGGUGAUGAGUCCACGUUCUCACAUUCAGAGCUUCAAUAAAUACAGAUGGGAGAAUAUCCAUUCACCAACUUUCCUACUUUGUAAUUUUUUAUGAUGCAUAAAGGCUUUUGAAUGCUCAGACUAAUAGAAUAGAGUCCUUAUACAGUAUACCAAAUGUAGUUUACCCUGUACUGUUUUAGAAACAGUUGUAUUUAAUUGUAAUAUUGUAAACUCCUAUCAACUUAAGUAGAUUGAUCCCACAAUAGAAUGAUGAGGGAAACACUUGUAGAACCUUAUGUUCUACUUUUGUAAGACAGAAACCCACAACAGAAGUUAUAGAAUAGAAAGGAACUGUUUGACUUGGAUGGUUUUAAAUAUAAAAGAACACCCUGGACAUCAAGAGUUAAACCCCAAAAACCCAAUAUACAUUUCCUGUAGUGCCAUAACAAAUGUGCUCAAAUAAGAUAUACAGCAAUGCCAGAUUACAGCAGACUGCAGACACAAAAAAUUAUGGGGCUGUUAGCUUGUGUAAAGUCAUUAAGCGAACAACAUUUCCAAAUUGAACAAAAUGGAAACAUCAACAAAGAAUGGCAAGCUUGACAUGUAAAUCCGAUAAUGUACACGCAGCCUUUCAUGAAGUUUCGCAACACAAAUAUAUUUUUAAACUUAAUGCAAAUCAUCCAAUUCUCUACAAGUUAUUGUAUGUUAGGCAUAGCAUAUUAAGACUAAAAUAGUUAAGUGGUGAGAAUCUUCAAACAGACAUGGCCCCAUUGACUCAGGCCACCAAACCAAACUUUUCUUCUUUUGAGUACAGUGACAUUAACCAACUUUAGUUGAUCGUUCUUCAUAAGCCACACAUGUUAUAGGACAACAAUAUCUAAUAUAUCACCACUUUAGACAACAUGACAAAUUGUAAGGGGUACCUGACUUUCUUAAAUGCAUGCAUUUUGAAAGUAUUGAGUGCAAGGUACACAGAUCCAAUUCUCACAUGCAAAAAAUAAAUAUGACCUGCUACAUUUAUGUCAGGAAUAUCUGCCAAUGCCAAGUACUUUAACCUAGAAAUAUAUAUCCUUGCUAAGGAUCAAACUGCAACUCGAGUUAUAGAGAAAAAGUGAAAUGGUUAAAGAGAAUUUACUUUCACAAUUUAAUUACUACAAAACAAAUGACUGAAGG